rnacentral:rRNA from 1 species
UGAGGAACAUGACCUUCGGCGGGGGAUAGCCGGCCCAACGGCCGGGUAAUACCGCGUACGACCUUUCGGGGACAUCCCCGGAUGGUGAAAGCAGCAAUGCGCCGAUGGAGUGCCUCGCGGCCUAUCAGCUAGUUGGUGAGGUAACGGCUCACCAAGGCGACGACGGGUAGCCGGCCUGAGAGGGCGACCGGCCACACUGGGACUGAGACACGGCCCAGACUCCUACGGGAGGCAG